UCUGCCUCUGGACUGUGGUUGACCAUGGAUAGCUGAAACCACAGAAAGCAAAGUUGAGGAUAAGUGGGACUGCUGUAUAACAAAUAUUUACAUCAAAUGUGGGAUUUCUGUAUUUUGAUGGUAAUCAGUUGGGGAAACAAAACGUGAAGACUAGAAAUAUAAAAUAAUAAUUAAUAAAAAUAACAAUUCUGAAACAUAACACAGCAGAUAUUACAAGGUAGAUCUCACUGCAUCAUAUUCAGAAAAAUGUGGACUGUGGAAUGAAAGACACCAGGAUGGGAUUCCUAAAGUUCUUUGUCACGGUCAUUAUCAAAAAUAUUAACCUAUUCUAAUCUGCUGUAUGAUACUUAUAAUAAUUCAACUUUUUUUUUCUUUUUUAUUAAUUUGUGGUCUCUCUUCUUCUACUAAUGGAAAAGCUCCAUGAAAACAAGGGCUCUGUCUAUAUUUUUUCACUGUAGUAUCAUCUCUACAGCCUAGAAUAGUUCAUAGCACAUAGCAGAUAAAUGAACGAGUGAGUAAAUGAGUGAACAAUCAAAUGAGUAAAUUUCCUAAUUCUGAGAUGUGUGGUCUUGGGUUUUCUUUUUAGGCCCUCCAUUUUUUCAUUUGUAAAAUAAUAUAAAUAAUAAUUUUCUUAGAUUGUUAGUGUAAAAUAAGUAAAGCACACUGCACAGUGACAGCAGGCAUGGAGGGGUUCCAUAAGUGACAACUAUUAAAAUAAAUGUGAUACUUUCACCUACACCACAAAAUUAUUACAUAUACCCACCCCGUUGUUGGGUUUGGUCAUAUAUUAUGUCCAACGUCAUGUGAGCAGAUGUAGCAUGGCAUAUGCCCUCCCAAACGGACACCUACAACUCUCUCUCAUCCCUCUGCCAUGAGAAUGUGCUGUUUCAGCUCAGAGCUGCACCUUCAGAAUGAAGACGUGUGCAGCAGACCCAACCCAGCAGUCAACUUAGAGCGGAGACCCAGGCAAGACCUGCCCAUGUGUCCUCCUUCUGCUCAAAAACACCAUCUCCUCCACAUUCAUCAGUGAGGUCCUCUUCAGUCUUAACAGGCCAGUUCAAGGGUUGGUCACUCUGCCUAUCAUCCUCACAGUGACAUCUCUGGGACAAGGUCAUUAUUUAAUCAUCUUUAUUAUCCUUGGUGGUUAGCAUCUAAUACCCGUCUGACAAACACAUGUUGAGACAUGAGCGGACAAAUGACACAAGAGAACAUGAGAGUUUAAAUAGACAGAAGAAAAGCUACACAAUGAGCCUGUGGGAGGUGAAAGGCCCCUCAGCUAAUUUUCCAGUCAGAGAAAUGCACUUAAUUUUAAAGCCAACAAAAGCAUGUAACAAGGAAGACCUACGUGGCUGCCACAAAGAAAUGAAAUGAUGAAUGGGACCAUCAAUAAUUCACAUGUUCCGUGUAGAUGUAACAGAUUGCCUGAUUGUACAAAAUGACUUCUAUCUUGGUGAAGAACCAACACAUUAUUCCUCAUGGGUCUCUUUGACUCCCUACCUUUGUCUUUAAUGUAUAAAGUACGUCUUAUUUCUGAUAAAUGCAGUGCUGUUUGCUGGUCUUAAUAAAGGUCAGAUGGAUGGACAACUGAUAAAAUCUGCUGGAAAAAAAAAUUGACAAAUAAAGUGUU